UACGUAGGGUGCAAGCGUUGUCCGGAAUUAUUGGGCGUAAAGAGCUCGUAGGCGGUUUGUCGCGUCUGCUGUGAAAACUCAGGGCUUAACCCUGAGCCUGCAGUGGGUACGGGCAGACUAGAGUGUGGUAGGGGAGAUCGGAAUUCCUGGUGUAGCGGUGGAAUGCGCAGAUAUCAGGAGGAACACCGGUGGCGAAGGCGGAUCUCUGGGCCAUAACUGACGCUGGAGGAGCGAAAGCAUGGGGGAGCGAACAGGA
rnacentral:rRNA from 1 species